rnacentral:tRNA from 1 species
ACCCUGAUUGCUCAGUGGAUAGAGCAUGAGACUUUUAAUCUGAAGGUCCAGGGUUCAAGUCCAUGUUUGGGUG